GACGAACGCUGGCGGCGUCCUUAACACAUGCAAGUCGAACGGAAAGGCCCUGCUUUUGUGGGGUGCUCGAGUGGCGAACGUGUGAGUAACACGUGAGUAACCUGACCUUGACUUUGGGAUAACUUCAGGAAACUGGGGCUAAUACCGGAUAGGAGCUCCUGCUGCAUGGUGGGGGUUGGAAAGUUUCGGCGGUGGGGGAUGGACUCGCGGCUUAUCAGCUUGUUGUUGGGGUAGUGGCUUACCAAGGCUUUGACGGGUAGCCGGCCUGAGCGGGUGACCGGCCACAUUGGGACUGAUAUGAGGCCCAGACUCCUACGGGAGGCAGCAGUGGUGAAGAUUGCACAAUGGGCGGAAGCCUGAUGCAGCAACGCCGCGUGCGGGAUGACGGCCGUCGGGUUGUAAACCGCUUUCGCCUGUGACGAAGCGUGAGUGACGGUAAUGGGUAAAGAAGCACCGGCUAACUACGUG
rnacentral:rRNA from 1 species